UUACGUCCAUAUCAUGUUCAAAUACCGUUUCUUGUACGAUCAACGGAGUUAAACAACGUCGAGCCUGGUCAGUACCUAGAUGGGUGACUGCUUGGGAAUUCCCCGUGCUGUAC